rnacentral:rRNA from 1 species
CGCAUCUGUGCAUGCAGCAUAUCAAUAAGCGGAGGAAAAGAAACUAACAAGGAUUCCCUUAGUAACGGCGAGUGAAGCGGGAAGAGCUCAAAUUUGAAAUCUUCAAGGUUUUACCUUGACGAAUUGUAGUUUAAAGAAGUGUUUUCUGUUGAAGUUUUGGUAAAAGUUCUUUGGAAUAGGACAUCAUAGAGGGUGAGAAUCCCGUAUUUGACCAUUAUUUUCAGCUGUGUGGUACACUUUCAAAGAGUCGGAUUGUUUGGGAAUGCAGUCCAAAAUGGGUGGUAAAUUUCAUCUAAAGCUAAAUAUUGGCGAGAGACCGAUAGCGAACAAGUACCGUGAGGGAAAGAUGAAAAGAACUUUGAAAAGAGAGUUAAACAGUACGUGAAAUUGUCAAAAGGGAAGCGUUUGACACCAGUGUUGUUUUCUCGAAAAUCAAUUAAAAAGAGUUUGAUUUUGUUGUGUAUUGACCUUAACAGCUUGCAUUUCAAUUUUCUUGCUUUUUUUAAUGCACUUUUCGUUUAACAAGUCAACAUCAGUUUCUUUUGUUGUAAAAAGGUCAUUGGAAGGUGGCUUUCUUUUCGGAGAAAGUGUUUAUAGCCUUUGACUCCUGCAAUCGGAGAGGACUGAGGUCUGCAGCGUAGAUCCUUCGGGGUUAGAUACAUUUGUGCUAAGUUAUAGCUUUUUAUAGACAACUUGUUGACUAUGAUUAGUCUUGUAGCUUACUCGCUUAUGCUAUUUUACCUACGCUUAGGAUGUUGAACUCUAUCACACACAG